rnacentral:rRNA from 1 species
GUCGCAUGCUCCCGGCCGCCAUGGCGGCCGCGGGAAUUCGAUUAGAGUUUGAUCAUGGCUCAGAAUCAACGCUGGCGGCGUGCCUAACACAUGCAAGUCGAACGCGAAAGUGGAGCAAUCCAUGAGUAGAGUGGCAAACGGGUGAGUAACGCGUGGGCGACCUGCCUUCGAGUGGGGGAUAACAUUCCGAAAGGGAUGCUAAUACCGCAUAACAUCCUUCGUUUAGAUACGAGGUGAUCAAAGCCGGGAGCAAUUCUGGCGCUUAAAGAGGGGCCCGCGUCCGAUUAGCUAGUUGGUGGGGUAACGGCCUACCAAGGCUCCGAUCGGUAUCCGGCCUGAGAGGGCGGACGGACACACUGGAACUGAGACACGGUCCAGACUCCUACGGGAGGCAGCAGUGGGGAAUUGUUCGCAAUGGGCGCAAGCCUGACGACGCAACGCCGCGUGGAGGAUGAAGACCUUCGGGUCGUAAACUCCUUUCGACCGAGAAGAAUGACUCCCGACCUCAUACGUCGGGAGCAUGACGGUAUCGAGGGAAGAAGCCCCGGCUAACUCUGUGCCAGCAGCCGCGGUAAUACGAAUCACUAGUGAAUUCGCGGCCGCCUGCAGGUCGACCAUAUGGGAGAGCUCCCAACGCGUUGGAUGCAUAGC